AAGAAACAUUAGCCUGGUGUUUGUUAUACUAAAUACUACAUUAUACCUAUCUGUUGUUGAUUAUUUUCCUAUAGCAGGGCAACUUACUUCUCUCUGGUCAUUCAGGAAAGCUUCAGUCAAACAGAAGGACAAAAAAACUUCUUGGGCAAGAGCUGAAAUGCAAAAGAAGCUUGGGAAACUUCUCAUCUGGACUUGGAGGUGCAGUGUGAAGGCCCAGUGUAAACAGUCGAGGUAAAUCUCUAACUCAUGCUCGCCAUUCCUCUCCAAAUCUCGCCGACGUGCUUGAGGGGGAAGUUCACAUCAGGCUUCAGACACCUCAGACGGCUGCUCUUACUUUACAGCUUACGACUGCUUCAUUUGGUAACUGUGCCAUCAACCUCAUAGUGGAUGAGAAUGGGAUUUUAGUCACAUAUAACCAGAUAGGUAUCAGAUCAACUUGCAGUAUAUGACAACCAGCUGAAGUAAUAUUACAUAACAAGAUGCACAAUCACCCUUCCCAUGUUUGGAGAUGGUCCCAGGCCUGUGUGCACAGCUGUGAGGGAGAAUACGGUGACGCAUCCUAAAAUAAACGAGGAAUUUUUCCUGUUAUAUUAAAUCUGAUUUGUAAGAUGUGGGAUUUUCUUGUUGCUUAGUGGAAUUCAACUAAGUACACAAGGAAGGUUAAUUUUAGUACAUUUUUAAAGAAAUAAAUAAACUAUCAAACUAUGUA